rnacentral:rRNA from 1 species
GACGAACGCUGGCGGCGUGCUUAACACAUGCAAGUCGAACGCUGAAGACCUGGCUUUUGUUGGGUUGGAUGAGUGGCGAACGGGUGAGUAACACGUGAGUAACCUGCCCUCUUCUUUGGGAUAACGCCCGGAAACGGGUGCUAAUACUGGAUAUUCACUGGCCUUCGCAUGGGGGUUGGUGGAAAGGUUUGUUCUGGUGGGGGAUGGGCUCGCGGCCUAUCAGCUUGUUGGUGGGGUGAUGGCCUACCAAGGCUUUGACGGGUAGCCGGCCUGAGAGGGUGACCGGUCACAUUGGGACUGAGAUACGGCCCAGACUCCUACGGGAGGCAGCAGUGGGGAAUAUUGCACAAUGGGCGAAAGCCUGAUGCAGCGACGCCGCGUGAGGGAUGGAGGCCUUCGGGUUGUAAACCUCUUUCGCUCAUGGUCAAGCCGCAACUGUGGGUUGCGGUGAGGGUAGUGGGUAAAGAAGCGCCGGCUAACUACGUG